AUUGAACGCUGGCGGCAUGCCUUACACAUGCAAGUCGAACGGCAGCAUGAUCUAGCUUGCUCGAUUGAUGGCGAGUGGCGCACGGGUGAGUAAUACAUCGGAACGUGCCCUGUAGUGGGGGAUAACUAGUCGAAAGAUUAGCUAAUACCGCAUACGACCUGAGGGUGAAAGUGGGGGACCGCAAGGCCUCAUGCUAUAGGAUCGGCCGAUGUCUGAUUAGCUAGUUGGUGAGGUAAAGGCUCACCAAGGCGACGAUCAGUAGCUGGUCUGAGAGGACGAUCAGCCACACUGGGACUGAGACACGGCCCAGACUCCUACGGGAGGCAGCAGUGGGGAAUUUUGGACAAUGGGCGAAAGCCUGAUCCAGCAAUGCCGCGUGUGUGAAGAAGGCCUUCGGGUUGUAAAGCACUUUUGUCCGGAAAGAAAUGGCUCUGGUUAAUACCUGGGGUCGAUGACGGUACCGGAAGAAUAAGGACCGGCUAACUACGUG
rnacentral:rRNA from 1 species